ACAGUGCCUGUGAGCCACAACAACUCAUGUGAUGAUAUAAAUGAAUGUCUGUUCAGUCCAUCUGUAUGUGGUCCAAAUUCUAACUGCACAAAUCAGCUGGGAAGUUAUAAUUGCUCAUGUCUGGAUGGAUUCACUGCAACAAUUUCAAGUCUCCCCAUCAACAUCACUAACACAUGUAGAGAUGUGAAUGAAUGUCUUGAGAAACCAGAGGUCUGUGGUCCAAGCUCUCGUUGCACUAACACAAUUGGGGGUUAACAACUGUUCCUGCUUGAGUGGAUUUACUGUAACAAAUAGCAGUGAACCCGUCAGCGGCAGUAACCCAUGCAAUGUGACUCUACCUUUAACUGAAUAUCUGAUUGAAAUUCAGAUCAGUAACAUGGACAGUAAUAUCACUGAUCAGCUGAGGAACCUUCUGAUGUCUUUCAGUUUGCCCUACACAAUCAGUAACAGCACUAACAUUACAGAAAUCAACAUAACUACUGUGUGUUCUUUGAAUGAAACACAGUAUCAGUGUAAAUGUGAGGGUCUGUUUGUUUGGCCGAAUGACACGUGUCACUCAUACAAGACCUGUGAUGACACCACUGAUGGUUCAUGUACAUGUAUCAAUGCCCUUCCAAUCAACGGACAGUUCUGCCAAAGUG